rnacentral:lncRNA from 1 species
GAGAAGACUUGCAACAAGAAGAUGGACCCACAGGAGAACCACAACAAGAGGAUGAUGAGUUUCUUAUGGCGACUGAUGUAGAUGAUAGAUUUGAGACCCUGGAACCUGAAGUAUCUCAUGAAGAAACCGAGCAUAGUUACCACGUGGAAGAGACAGUUUCACAAGACUGUAAUCAGGAUAUGGAAGAGAUGAUGUCUGAGCAGGAAAAUCCAGAUUCCAGUGAACCAGUAGUAGAAGAUGAAAGAUUGCACCAUGAUACAGAUGAUGUAACAUACCAAGUCUAUGAGGAACAAGAAGUAACUGCUCCCCCUGAGGAUAAUCCUGUAGAAGAUUCACAGGUAAUUGUAGAAGAAGUAAGCAUUUUUCCUGUGGAAGAACAGCAGGAAGUACCACCAGAUACUUAAAGCUUCAAAAAGACUGCCCCUACCACCACAGGAGGACCAGCCUAACCAUACGCUCCAAAAGAUGGCUGUGAUAGAUCUUGUGAAGCAAUUACUGAGCAGAUCAAGAUCUUUGGGAAGGAACACUAAAGAUGU